rnacentral:rRNA from 1 species
UCCGUAGGUGAACCUGCGGAAGGAUCAUUACUGAGUGCGGGCUGCCUCCGGGCGCCCAACCUCCCACCCGUGAAUACCUAACACUGUUGCUUCGGCGGGGAACCCCCUCGGGGGCGAGCCGCCGGGGACUACUGAACUUCAUGCCUGAGAGUGAUGCAGUCUGAGUCUGAAUAUAAAAUCAGUCAAAACUUUCAACAAUGGAUCUCUUGGUUCCGGCAUCGAUGAAGAACGCAGCGAACUGCGAUAAGUAAUGUGAAUUGCAGAAUUCAGUGAAUCAUCGAGUCUUUGAACGCACAUUGCGCCCCCUGGCAUUCCGGGGGGCAUGCCUGUCCGAGCGUCAUUGCUGCCCAUCAAGCCCGGCUUGUGUGUUGGGUCGUCGUCCCCCCCGGGGGACGGGCCCGAAAGGCAGCGGCGGCACCGUGUCCGGUCCUCGAGCGUAUGGGGCUUUGUCACCCGCUCGACUAGGGCCGGCCGGGCGCCAGCCGACGUCUCCAACCAUUUUUCUUCAGGUUGACCUCGGAUCAGGUAGGGAUACCCGCUGAACUUAAGCAUAUCAAUAAGCGGAGGAAAAGAAACCAACCGGGAUUGCCUCAGUAACU